GUGGCUCACGCCUAUAAUCCUAGCACUUUAUGGGGCUGAGGCAGGAGGAUCGCUUGAGCCCAGGAGUUUGAGACAAGCCUGGGCAACAUAGUGAGACCCCCGUCUCUACAAAAAAUUUAAAAAUUAGCUGGGUGUGGCGAUGUGCUUGUGAAAUAUAGAAAACAGAUUUUCUUCUCCCAUCCCCUCCAGCAUUAAGGUGUUACUGACAAAGAAAAAUUGUAUAUAUUUACACUGUACAACAUGAUGUUUUGAUAUAUGUAUACAUAGCAAAAUGAUGAAAUCAAGUUAUUAACAUAUCCAUCACCUCACAUACUAUUCAUUUAAAACAGAGUUUUACGUCAAUUGAGUCACAUAUAAAAUUGGUAGCUUACUGUGAAAGGAAUCCUGUGACGCAAUGUUUUUAUAGGGGACUUCCUUCAGCUAAAAACUAAUUUUUCUUUGUUAAACAUGGAUUUUCUCAUUUUGGUUUUGAGAAUUACUCCUAUUUCUCCCAAGUGGACUCAUAAAAUCUCUGGGCCAAAUUAGUCUAACAGUUCCGAUCUAUUUUUAUAAUCCAAAUCUAUAAACUCACAAAAUAAAGUUAUCUUACCAAGGAAAAACUUCUGGGCUGGAAGAAAAAUAGCCACUAUGAUAUAGGGAAGCUAGAUUUAUCUCAGACAAUGGAAUACUCUAUUCUAGAGAAUAAUAUAUUGAAAUACCUGAAAAAUAAUGGGACAAACUGACAUCAGGUGCUUCUUGGCAAGAUGCAAUGAGGACACAGGAUCUCUUUUUUUUGAGACAGGGUCUCACUCUGUUGCCCAGGCUGGAGUGCAGUGGCACAAUCUUGGCUCAAUGCAACCUCCACUUCCCAGGCUCAGCCUCCUGAGUAGCUGGGACUACAGUGCAUGCCAACAUGCUGGCUACAUUUUUAUUUUUUUGUAGAGACAAGGUCUCGCCAUUUUGG
rnacentral:lncRNA from 1 species